rnacentral:rRNA from 1 species
AUUGAACGCUGGCGGCAUGCCUUACACAUGCAAGUCGAACGGCAGCACGGGUGCUUGCACCUGGUGGCGAGUGGCGAACGGGUGAGUAAUACAUCGGAACAUGUCCUGUAGUGGGGGAUAGCCCGGCGAAAGCCGGAUUAAUACCGCAUACGAUCCACGGAUGAAAGCGGGGGACCUUCGGGCCUCGCGCUAUAGGGUUGGCCGAUGGCUGAUUAGCUAGUUGGUGGGGUAAAGGCCUACCAAGGCGACGAUCAGUAGCUGGUCUGAGAGGACGACCAGCCACACUGGGACUGAGACACGGCCCAGCCUCCUACGGGAGGCAGCAGUGGGGAAUUUUGGACAAUGGGCGAAAGCCUGAUCCAGCAAUGCCGCGUGUGUGAAGAAGGACUUCGGGUUGUAAAGCACUUUUGUCCGGAAAGAAAUCCUUGACUCUAAUACAGUCGGGGGAUGACGGUACCGGAAGAAUAAGCACCGGCUAACUACGU